GAUGAACGCUGGCGGCGUGCCUAACACAUGCAAGUCGAGCGAGAAGUUUGAAAAAUGAGUUUUCGAACAAGUGAUUCAAACGGAAAGCGGCGGACGGGUGAGUAACGCGUAGGCAACCUGCCCCGUGCAGAGGGACAGCCUCGGGAAACCGGGAUUAAGACCUCAUGAUAUCGGGUUAUCACAUGGUAAUCCGGUCAAAGAUUUAUCGGCAUGGGAUGGGCCUGCGUCUGAUUAGCUGGUUGGUGGGGUAACGGCCUACCAAGGCGACGAUCAGUAGCAGAACUGAGAGGUUCAUCUGCCACAUUGGAACUGAGACACGGUCCAAACUCCUACGGGAGGCAGCAGUGAGGAAUAUUGCACAAUGGGCGAAAGCCUGAUGCAGCAACGCCGCGUGAGCGAAGAAGGCCUUUGGGUCGUAAAGCUCUGGUCCUUGGGGAAAAACAAUGACGGUACCCUUGGAGGAAGCCCCGGCUAACUACGUGCCAGCAGCCGCGGUAAU
rnacentral:rRNA from 1 species